rnacentral:rRNA from 1 species
UUAUUUUUCAUUUAUUAAUUUUAAUUAAUUUUUAUUUAAAGUAUUAAAAAUAUUUAUAAAAUUAUUUGUUUUAGUAUUUAUAAAGAAAUAAUAAAUUUAAUAAUAGUAUAUUAGUAUUGUAAAAGAAAAUUGAAAUAUUUUGAAAAGUUAAUAUAUUUAAAGAAAAUUUUUUUUAUUGUACCUUGUGUAUCAGGGUUUAUUAAAUAAAAAAUAAAUAUUUAUUAUUCUCGAUUUUAAAAGAGUUAAUAUAUUAUGAAAGUUAAUGUAAUAAAAUUAUUUUUAAUAAUAUAUUGGAAAUGAAAUGUUAUUCGUUUUUAAAGGUAUCUAGUUUUUUAAGAAAUAAAUUUAAUUUAUAAUUAAUAAAUUUAUUAAUUUAUUUUUUAAAUUUAAUAAUUUAUUAAUUAAAUAUUUUAUGGGAUAAGCUAUAAAAUAAAUUUUUAAAAAUAAUAAAUUAAUUAAAUAAAUAUAUGCUUAUAAUUAGCAAUUAUUAAUAAGUUUGUUAUAAAAUAUUUUAAAUAUAUAAUUAUUUAUUAAAUUUUAAAUUUUUAUUAAAAUAUUUAUUUAAAUAUAAGAAAUGAAGAAAAAAUGAUAAAAUUAGUAUAUAUAAUUGUUUAAAUAAAAAUUAAUGAUAAGUUAGUAUAAAGAAUUCGGCAAAAAUAAAUAUUCGCCUGUUUAACAAAAACAUGUCUUAUUGAAUUAAAUUUUAAGUCUGACCUGCCCACUGAAGUUUAAAUGGCCGCAGUAUUUUGACUGUGCAAAGGUAGCAUAAUCAUUAGUCUUUUAAUUGAAGGCUUGUAUGAAUGGUUGGACGAAAUAUUAACUGUUUCAUUGUAAUUUAAAUUAGAAUUUUAUUUUUUAGUUAAAAAGCUAAAAUAAAUUUAAAAGACGAGAAGACCCUAUAAAUCUUUAUAUUUUAUUAAAUAUUAAUUGAAAAGAUUAUUUUUGUUUUUAUUUAGUAAAAUAUUUUAUUGGGGUGAUAUUAAAAUUUAAAUAACUUUUAAAAGUAAAAAUCAUUAAUUAAUGAAUUUAUGAUCCUAUUUUAUGGAUUAAUAAAAUAAGUUACUUUAGGGAUAACAGCGUAAUUUUUUUGGAGAGUUCAUAUUGAUAAAAAAGAUUGCGACCUCGAUGUUGGAUUAAGAUAUAAUUUUAGGUGCAGAAGCUUAAAUUUUGAGUCUGUUCGACUUUUAAAUUCUUACAUGAUCUGAGUUCAAACCGGCGUAAGCCAGGUUGGUUUCUAUCUUUAAAAAAUUAAUAUAUUUUAGUACGAAAGGACCAAAUAUAUAAAUUAUAAUUUUAUUAUAAGAAAAUUAAUAAUUAAUU